rnacentral:rRNA from 1 species
GCAUGUUUUUGACAUUUGAAAAAUGGACUGCUCAGUAAUACUCACUUUAUUUUAUGUAAAUUUUUAAUUAACUACGUUAAAGUGUAGAUAAGAUGUUUACAGUAAGAGUGAGACCUAUCAGCUAGUUGUUAAGGUAAUGGCUUAACAAGGCUGUGACGGGUAACGGUAUUACUUUGUAAUAUUCCGGAGAAGGAGCCUGAGAGACGGCUACUAAGUCUAAGGAUUGCAGCAGGGGCGAAACUUGACCUAUGGAUUUUAUCUGAGGCAGUUAUGGGAAGUAAUAUUAUAUUGUUUCAUAUUUUAAAAGUAUAUGAGGUGAUUAAUUGGAGGGCAAAUCAAGUGCCAGCAGCCGCGGUAAUACUUGUUCCAAGAGUGUGUAUGAUGAUUGAUGCAGUUAAAAAGUCCGUAGUUUAUUUUUUUAAGAAGCAAUAUGAGGUGUACUGUAUAGUUGGGAGAAAGAUGAAAUGUGACGACCCUGACUGGACGAACAGAAGCGAAAGCUGUACACUUGUAUGUAUUUUUUGAACAAGGACGUAAGCUGGAGGAGCGAAGAUGAUUAGAUACCAUUGUAGUUCCAGCAGUAAACUAUGCCGACGAUGUGAUAUGGAAAUAUUAAUUUGUAUUACAUAAUAGAAAUUUGAGUUUUUUGGCUCUGGGGAUAGUAUGAUCGCAAGAUUGAAAAUUAAAGAAAUUGACGGAAGAAUACCACAAGGAGUGGAUUGUGCGGCUUAAUUUGACUCAACGC